GGGCGAGUAGCUCAGCCGGUUAGAGCGCACGGCCCACAUCCGUGAGGUCAGGGGUUCGAGUCCCUUCUCGCCCACCC
rnacentral:tRNA from 1 species